GAAAAAUAAAAAUAGGGAGGGAAAAUAACAAAUGGCGGCAAGUUGCAAGAACGACACUUGUUUUGCGUACUCCUCACUCUUUCAAACCCUAAUUCUCUAUCAUUUCAUCUUCCUACUUCUCUCUACCAAAUUCUCCCCAAUUUUUCCUCAUCACCUUCUUCGGAUGCUACGAAAAUCUCCGGUUAUUUAGAAAUCGAAGAUCUCGCACUCUAGCUCCCGGUACAGUUAACAUCUCUCGCACUUUCAGUUAUGAUUAUGGUUUGAUGUGAUUGAUGCUAAUGGUUUGAUACUAAACAUAGUAACGGUCCAGGUAAACCAAGUGAAUCCAAUACUCCAACCCUAAUCAAUUAGUAGGUUUAGGAUUUUUCUUUGCUAGGGUCAAAUCCAAACCAAACCGAUGAAAGUCAUGCUCAACCCGGGAUCAAGUAACAAGUUCUAACUUUCGAACACAUGAAUUCGAUCACCCGACUCAUAUAAUUGUUUUUACUUUUCAAUAUUUUUCUUAUUUAGUUAAGUAGCUGAGAUGUUUUUUUUUAAAAAUCAUUUUAGAUUUGUUAAAAUUGAUAAAGAUGUUUUACACAUUUUCUCUAGCCAUCUGGAUUAAGUUGGAUGCACCAGGGAUCAUCAUUCUACAUUUGGUUAUUGUUUUCUAAUUGGAGAGAAUCUUAUUUCUUGGCAAAAGCAAGAAGAAGAGUACUAAUGUUAGAUUUGGCGCAAAGAUUGAAUACCAACUACCAAACUAUGGAAGAAUCAUUAAUGAUUUUGCAAAAAAACUUCAUAGUGAAUGAUAUUUAAAUAGUUAUAAAGACACCAUCUUCUUGGUUCUCCCAGGGCACUCAAUUUAUAAGGACUGGCCCUGACUUGUCUAUGCCUGUGAUGAUCUAGUCCUCACAUAUUAAAUAUCUCGGUUGAUAGGAGGUGCCAAGGUCAAUACCACUAGUUGCAGGAUUUCACAUCCUAAACAGAAAAGUAUUGUACUUUUUUCAUCCCUUGCUGUGUGCUUGUUUCACAUUUGCGAAAGAAUAGUUGAAGAUACAAAAGUAGGCUAGUUGUUGAUCACCUGUCACUCUGGCGGCAAUCCCAUCUGGUGUUGGGACAGUUUGAUCUUCAAUAUUAGCUUUUGUGGGUAAAUUUCCUAGCGACAUUUCCCAUUAUUCUCGUUUUCACUUUUUUGUCUUUGCAAAUUUACUUUCUAUAAAAUGGAAUCUGGCAAAAAGUGGGCGAGGUGAACGUUUUUGUUGAUCAAAUCCCCUAACGCAAACAAAUCCUGAAAUGAAGUAUCAAAAUGUUAAUAGGCAUGACAAGAUUGAACAUUGAUAUUUCUUAGAUGCAUAUGGGAACUACACUUAUUUUAACAAUGGAUGGUACUCAUGAUGUUUUUAGGGAACUAUUGGCUGACUAGGCUGAUAUUGAGUCAUUCCAGAAUGAUGCGCAGACACACAUUUGGAUCCAUCUUUUGAUUGGGAGUUUAUUGCUUUUGGAAUCAUUGUGUGAGUGUAGAUGAUAGCUAAUGUGCCAUGUUGAAAACCAAUUGAAAUGGUUUUUCUUUCAUAUGUUAUCAAAAUUUUGCAGAGUAAUAAGAGAAAAAAUAAAACAAAUAUUUUACGGCAGUCUGCAUACCUCUCCAAAAGCAAUGCUGAAUUUCUGGGGUUGAUAGACCUAGUAGACAUAAGAGUUUUUUGUGAGUACUCUUAACUUCUCAGACAAAACGGUUUAGAAUAGAUAUUAGUAGAUGAGCAUGUGGAUUUUUCCCCCUACCUUUGAAAAUUGACGAUACAGAGGUUCCAAAGUAUACUGUCCUCCUUGGCAAAUUCCAUAUCCAUGCCCUAGGGAUAUCUAUGGGCUCAAUGCUGGAUGCGUGGUCCGCAAAUAACUUCAUGAUAAAAAAAGGUUUUUAUAGAUCCUUGGUAGUGAAUAUUGAAAUUUAAAACAAGGGUAUAUCUGUCUAGGUUACUGAACAGUAACAGAACAUAAUUUUCACUCACCUCAUUAACUUGAAAGUAAGUUCCGUUGAGUGGAAAGCUUCCCCUUGUUGCUGUUCUACACGGUAUCUGUAUACGGGAUAACAUUUGUGAAAGUUAUUACAAAAUUUAUAAGGUUAGGAAAUAGUUCUUUCAUUGCCCUGUCCGUAUCCAGAAAUUAUUAAUCAUUACCAGAAUUGUUCCUCUCACAAUUUGUGAAUUAGCUUCUCUAAUGCUAUUGCAUGAAAAGCAUGUGUUGUCAUUGCACAGGCUGGUUGAGUCUUGCGAUCCACACUUCCUUUGCGGCGGUUCAAUGGAAUUUGCAGUCUCACCUAGUAUUUAAAUUUCAUAAAUAUGAGCGUGAACAUUUUAUCUUUGAUCUAACAUAUACGGAGUAUGAUCUUUCUUAUGCUUAAAUUUUUUCUUUUCAAUUUGUCCGUUUUAGAUGUACUUGUCCUUGUGCUUUGGUUUUAGUAUAGGAGUAGCUUUUGGUGACUAUUCUUUGCAUAUUGUAGUUAUUAUUAAUGAUUAAGUAUUACUCGAGUUUAUUACAAGUAUCAUCUGCUAACCUGGUGACCAUAUUGCAAGAAGAUACGGGCUUGGGUCAUCUGGUUCCCGCUUAUCCAUCUGUACAUUUUUGUACAUAAACAAAUAUAAAAAAAAUAUCCCAAUCUGAUAACUGAAUGUUUCAGUACAGAGAAAAGAAUAACUAACCUUUUCCAACAGAGGGUGUGAAUCUGGAAGUUCAUAUCUGCAGCAAUCAGGGGAUGUUAGAAAGCAUCAUUUGAAUUUCCAUUAAGAAAACAGAUCAGUCAUACAGUCUAGAGAGUCAAGGAAUUUAUAAUGAGUUUACUUAUGACAAUGACUAUAGUGAUGUCAUUUAAAAUAUAGAUUUUCUAGGCCUAGAAAUCAGAAAGGUCCGACAACACCAUAUCAUUUUGGACUUACAUUUUGAGAAUGAAUAUCCAAAUGCUUUGCAUCUCCAAAAAUACUUAAUUUAAACAAUUUAGAAAAUCAUAUGUAUGAAGGUAAUAUAUAAUUAUAUUCAGGACCGGUAAGCCCGUGGAUGAUGAUUUAGUUUCUGCAUUUUGGUUGCUCAACUUGAAAUUAACUCAGUCCAAACGAAAGUCCGAUUGAGUUAAAUUUUCUAGGACACUUGUAUGUUGCUCAAUUAGAAAAAUAUAAAAGAAAACUAUUUAAUUAUUUAGCUGGAUUUGUGUUUUAAUGGCAAGAUGGUUUGCUGCUGUUGCAUGUAAUGCUAGUACUUACACUUGAUGUUCUGUUCUUAGCCGGCUCACAUUCUUCAGUUUUGGUGUCGGGAUGGAAGCAGACUGUGGAUUCCAGGCAACAAGGGCCUUAGACUGGUCACCUUCAUGUUCUUGCAUGUGGUUCUGUAAACUCUUCGCAAACACUUCGAGAUUGACAUUGAUAGUAGGAAUUUCAUCAGGAUCCUCCCAAAAGAAGUCCUCAAUGUCACUUUCUAAUGCCUCUGUACUCUGUUCUGGUGUUGCUGGUUCUUCAAUGAUUGGCUCACACUGCUUGCUUUGAGGACACACUUCAAUGCUCAUGUUGUUCCCAGGGAGAGAUAGGAUCACCGGGUUUAAAUUUGGAGGGUUUCUCUCAUCUGCAAUGGGAACAGGCAUGCUCACAAUUUGCUUCUCUUCUGGUCCUGGCAAGGCAAGCCGUGCACUGUACUGAAAGGAUUUUAGGGAAGUUAUGAUAUUACAAGGUUCUUUGAUCAAGUUUGCACAAUCUUGGCCAAAGAUACUUUUGAAUAGACUCUAGCACUGGAUACCUGCACAGAAUAGUAGUUAGCAGUUUCUAUCUGUGGUAUGUUUAUCUUCUUACUGGCUGUCAAUAAGAUACUUACAGUUCAAGGAGGUGUAUUUGUAGUUUUUCAGGAAGUGGUUGGAGAGGAACCCAUCCAAGUCUAACAGCUAUCCUUCCAACAUUGGUGUCAACCUUCAAGGCAUGAGCAUAGCAACAUGUUAUUGCAAGGGUUUUAAUGAUUUGCAUACUAGUAAGCAGGAAAUGGAUUUCAAAUUAGCCUUACCGGGAAAGCAAGAUGAUGAAGUGUCAGAAGCCGUACACAUUCCACACUUUUUAACCCCAACCCUCUCAUGCUCAGCAGAUAGUCCCUGCAUUUGAUAUUGUAUAUGGAAACCAGAAGAAAGGACAUGGUUAAUAUGCAUUAUAUUCUGUUAUUUGCUGGCAGUGUCUGCUAAAUAGAAACUUUCUUAGAAGGAUAUUGGUUAAUGGUGAUAAAAGAUUUUGGCUUACUUUACUUUAUCAGGGGGAGCAUGUCUUAACCAUUCAAGGUCAAUGCUUCCAUGAUCUCUAACCAGUCUAUCCAGGAAUUCCUGACAUGACAUAAAAGUAUUAUAUCUCAGUAUAUUGUAUUUUAGUUAUAAAAUUCAGUGUUCUACAAACUCGAGUGGUUGGACAUACCUUGAUU